rnacentral:rRNA from 1 species
UACAGAGGGUGCAGGCGUUAAUCGGAAUUACUGGGCGUAAAGCGUGCGUAGUCGGUUAUUUAAGUCGGAUGUGAAAUCCCCGGGCUCAACCUGGGAAUUGCAUUCGAUACUGGAUAGCUAGAGUUCGGCAGAGGGAAGCGGAAUUUCGGGUGUAGCGGUGAAAUGCGUAGAUAUCCGAAGGAACAUCAGUGGCGAAAGCGGCUUCCUGGACCAGAACUGACGAUCAGGCACGAAAGCGUGGGGAGCAAACAGG